AGGUAAGCUACUAAGAGCGAAUGGUGGAUGCCUUGACUGGUAAAGGCGAUGAAGGACGUACUAGACUGCGAUAAGCUACGGGGAGCUGUCAAGAAGCUUUGAUCCGUAGAUUUCCGAAUGGGGCAACCCAAUGUAUAGAGAUAUACAUUACCUAUAUAGGAGCGAACGAGGGGAAUUGAAACAUCUUAGUACCCUCAGGAAAAGAAAUCAAUAGAGAUUGCGUCAGUAGCGGCGAGCGAAAGCGCAAGAGGGCAAACCCAGUGCUUGCACUGGGGGUUGUAGGACUGCAAUGUGCAAGAGGUAAGUUUAGCAGAACAUUCUGGAAAGUAUAACCAUAGAGGGUGAUAGUCCCGUAUGCGAAAAACAAACCUUAGCUAGCAGUAUCCUGAGUAGGGCGGGACACGAGGAAUCCUGUCUGAAUCCGGGUCGACCACGAUCCAACCCUAAAUACUAAUACCAGAUCGAUAGUGCACAAGUACCGUGAGGGAAAGGUGAAAAGAACUGAGGUGAUCAGAGUGAAAUAGAACCUGAAACCAUUUGCUUACAAUCAUUCAGAGCCUUAUGUAGCAAUACAGGGUGAUGGACUGCCUUUUGCAUAAUGAGCCUGCGAGUUGUGGUGUCUGGCAAGGUUAAGCAAACGCGAAGCCGUAGCGAAAGCGAGUCUGAAUAGGGCGCUUAGUCAGAUGCUGCAGACCCGAAACGAAGUGAUCUAUCCAUGAGCAAGUUGAAGCUAGUGUAAGAACUAGUGGAGGACUGAACCCAUAGGCGUUGAAAAGCCCCGGGAUGACUUGUGGAUAGGGGUGAAAGGCCAAUCAAACUUCGUGAUAGCUGGUUCUCUCCGAAAUAUAUUUAGGUAUAGCGUUGUGUCGUAAUAUAAGGGGGUAGAGCACUGAAUGGGCUAGGGCAUACACCAAUGUACCAAACCCUAUCAAACUCCGAAUACCUUAUAUGUAAUCACAGCAGUCAGGCGGCGAGUGAUAAAAUCCGUCGUCAAGAGGGAAACAACCCAGACUACCAGCUAAGGUCCCUAAAUCUUACUUAAGUGGAAAACGAUGUGAAGUUACUUAAACAACCAGGAGGUUGGCUUAGAAGCAGCCAUCCUUUAAAGAAAGCGUAAUAGCUCACUGGUCUAGUGAUUUUGCGCGGAAAAUAUAACGGGGCUAAAGUAAGUACCGAAGCUGUAGACUUAGUUUACUAAGUGGUAGGAGAGCGUUCUAUUUGCGUCGAAGGUAUACCGGUAAGGAGUGCUGGAGCGAAUAGAAGUGAGCAUGCAGGCAUGAGUAGCGAUAAUUAAUGUGAGAAUCAUUAACGCCGUAAACCCAAGGUUUCCUACGCGAUGCUCGUCAUCGUAGGGUUAGUCGGGUCCUAAGUCGAGUCCGAAAGGGGUAGACGAUGGCAAAUUGGUUAAUAUUCCAAUACCAACAUUAGUGUGCGAUGGAAGGACGCUUAGGGCUAAGGGGGCUAGCGGAUGGAAGUGCUAGUCUAAGGUCGUAGGAGGUUAUACAGGCAAAUCCGUAUAACAAUACUCCGAGAACUGAAAGGCUUUUUGAAGUCUUCGGAUGGAUAGAAGAACCCCUGAUGCCGUCGAGCCAAGAAAAGUUUCUAAGUUUAGCUAAUGUUGCCCGUACCGUAAACCGACACAGGUGGGUGGGAUGAGUAUUCUAAGGCGCGUGGAAGAACUCUCUUUAAGGAACUCUGCAAAAUAGCACCGUAUCUUCGGUAUAAGGUGUGGUUAGCCUUGUAUUAGGAUUUACUCCGAAAGCAAGGAAACUUACAACAAAGAGUCCCUCCCGA
rnacentral:rRNA from 1 species